rnacentral:rRNA from 1 species
GACAGAGGGUGCGAACGUUGUUCGGAAUUACUGGGCGUAAAGCGCGUGUAGGCGGCAACGCAAGUCGGGCGUGAAAUCCCACGGCUCAACCGUGGAAGUGCACUCGAAACUGCGUAGCUAGAGUCUUGGAGAGGAAGGUGGAAUGCUUGGUGUAGAGGUGAAAUUCGUAGAUAUCAAGCGGAACACCGGUGGCGAAGGCGGCCUUCUGGACAGUGACUGACGCUGAGACGCGAAAGCGUGGGGAGCAAACAGG